GAACAUCGUUCAAACCCUGGUCUGCUUGGAUCCCAAAUUGUGCCUUACCUCACCCCCCUGCAGGGACUGGAAAACUCUACUGGCUGUCUUUGGUGAUAGCAACGGGGGCAACCACUGUUAUUGACCCUGUGGAUGGAGAGCCAUGACCUCCCAACGCAGCUCAGCUGCAAGUUACCACCCACGCAAGCUCGUCUUUACAAGCAGCCCUUCCACGCUGGCCUCCCUGCACCAGAGCCCGGAGAGGCAGCGUUUCCUGCCCUCUGGAGCCCCGGCAGCGCCCUUUCCGGGCUGCUGAGGUACGACUCGGUCAGAGACGUAGGUGAGCCUCUGUGAGCUGGGGACACAGGGGGCUUCCUUCCUCCUGGCGGAGUUACGCCGAGUCAAGUGCAGGACAUGGGGUUCUUGGCCCCGCUGCGGAGCUGGUACCAUGCUUGGACUGACUACCUGCUUCUCCUUUAGGUGCCUAGUGUGCAUUUCUGCACCCAGUCAUGCCACAGAGAGCCUGGUUCUACAGUGAAUUAAGCCCUGCAUCCCUCCACCAUUUAGACCCGAGAACUUGCCUUAUCAACCUACUCAGGCAGAAGUCCUAUAGAGAAGAGAGGAGGACCUCGCAAAAACCCUUGCAUUCCGCCAGAGACCAACAGCUCGAGGAAGUCUAUAGGAGCCUCCAGAACAAUUCAGCUCCCCUGGGAAAAGAGCCAGAUUGGCUGGAAGGCAGACACCUCAGUAUUUAAGGGCUCUACCAUGUUACUGUGCAGAAACCAGCUUCCGGGAAGAGCACCUGCUUGUAAGAGUGUGAGACCUUCUCCAGUGCCCCAGAAGCCCGCUCUGAUGAGUCCACAUGGCCGGCCAGAAGAACCAGGUUGCUGAUGCCUAGAAGUUUUUCUCAGCUGGUGAUGGAGAUUUGGUGAUUGGAGUCCACAGCUCCAUUGCCCCUCCAGUGAGAUAACGGAGGCCUGUGUUCCAUACCAUUUUCCAGAGUUUCCCUUGAGAACUGAGUUCUUGUCACCCCUGUGGUAGCUGGCUU